UGAGUCGGCAGGGCGGCCGCGGCGCGUGAGCGUCGAGGAAAGUCCGGACUCCACAGGGCAGGGUGGUUGUUAACGGCAACCAGGGGUGACCCUCGGGACAGUGCCACAGAAAGCAGACCGCCUCGCUUGUCGAGGUAAGGGUGAAACGGUGGUGUAAGAGACCACCAGCGCCCCAGGUGACUGGGGCGGCUAGGUAAACCCCACCCGGAGCAAGGCCAAGAGGGCACCGGAUCGCAAGAGAAGGUGCCUGCGUGAGCGUUCGAGGGCUGCCCGCCCGAUGCUCGCGGGUAGGCCGCUAGAGCCUGUCGGCGACGGCAGGCCCAGAUGGAUGGCCGCCGACUGGGACCUCGGUCCCACGAACAGGAUCCGGCUUACAUGCCGGCUCAUCCG
rnacentral:RNase_P_RNA from 1 species